AACGAACGCUGGCGGCAUGCCUAACACAUGCAAGUCGAACGAGACCUUCGGGUUUAGUGGCGCACGGGUGCGUAACGCGUGGGAACCUGCCCUUAGGUUAGGAAUAACUCCCCGAAAGGGGUGCUAAUACCGGAUAAUGUCUUCGGACCAAAGAUCUAUCGCCUUUGGAUGGGCCCGCGUUGGAUUAGCUAGUUGGUAGGGUAAAAGCCUACCAAGGCGACGAUCCAUAGCUGGUCUGAGAGGAUGAUCAGCCACACUGGGACUGAGACACGGCCCAGACUCCUACGGGAGGCAGCAGUGGGGAAUAUUGGACAAUGGGCGAAAGCCUGAUCCAGCAAUGCCGGGUGAGAGAUGAAGGCCUUAGGGUUGUAAAGCUCUUUUACCCGGGGUGAUAAUGACGGUACCGGGAGAAUAAGCUCCGGCUAACUCCGUG
rnacentral:rRNA from 1 species